rnacentral:rRNA from 1 species
AAAUUGAAGAGUUUGAUCAUGGCUCAGAUUGAACGCUGGCGGCAGGCCUAACACAUGCAAGUCGAACGGUAACAGGAAACAGCUUGCUGUUUCGCUGACGAGUGGCGGACGGGUGAGUAAUGUCUGGGAAACUGCCUGAUGGAGGGGGAUAACUACUGGAAACGGUAGCUAAUACCGCAUAACGUCGCAAGACCAAAGAGGGGGACCUUCGGGCCUCUUGCCAUCUGAUGUGCCCAGAUGGGAUUAGCUUGUUGGUGGGGUAACGGCUCACCAAGGCGACGAUCCCUAGCUGGUCUGAGAGGAUGACCAGCCACACUGGAACUGAGACACGGUCCAGACUCCUACGGGAGGCAGCAGUGGGGAAUAUUGCACAAUGGGCGCAAGCCUGAUGCAGCCAUGCCGCGUGUAUGAAGAAGGCCUUCGGGUUGUAAAGUACUUUCAGCGGGGAGGAAGGGAGUAAAGUUAAUACCUUUGCUCAUUGACGUUACCCGCAGAAGAAGCACCGGCUAACUCCGUGCCAGCAGCCGCGGUAAUACGGAGGGUGCAAGCGUUAAUCGGAAUUACUGGGCGUAAAGCGCACGCAGGCGGUUUGUUAAGUCAGAUGUGAAAUCCCCGGGCUCAACCUGGGAACUGCAUCUGAUACUGGCAAGCUUGAGUCUCGUAGAGGGGGGUAGAAUUCCAGGUGUAGCGGUGAAAUGCGUAGAGAUCUGGAGGAAUACCGGUGGCGAAGGCGGCCCCCUGGACGAAGACUGACGCUCAGGUGCGAAAGCGUGGGGAGCAAACAGGAUUAGAUACCCUGGUAGUCCACGCCGUAAACGAUGUCGACUUGGAGGUUGUGCCCUUGAGGCGUGGCUUCCGGAGCUAACGCGUUAAGUCGACCGCCUGGGGAGUACGGCCGCAAGGUUAAAACUCAAAUGAAUUGACGGGGGCCCGCACAAGCGGUGGAGCAUGUGGUUUAAUUCGAUGCAACGCGAAGAACCUUACCUGGUCUUGACAUCCACGGAAGUUUUCAGAGAUGAGAAUGUGCCUUCGGGAACCGUGAGACAGGUGCUGCAUGGCUGUCGUCAGCUCGUGUUGUGAAAUGUUGGGUUAAGUCCCGCAACGAGCGCAACCCUUAUCCUUUGUUGCCAGCGGUCCGGCCGGGAACUCAAAGGAGACUGCCAGUGAUAAACUGGAGGAAGGUGGGGAUGACGUCAAGUCAUCAUGGCCCUUACGACCAGGGCUACACACGUGCUACAAUGGCGCAUACAAAGAGAAGCGACCUCGCGAGAGCAAGCGGACCUCAUAAAGUGCGUCGUAGUCCGGAUUGGAGUCUGCAACUCGACUCCAUGAAGUCGGAAUCGCUAGUAAUCGUGGAUCAGAAUGCCACGGUGAAUACGUUCCCGGGCCUUGUACACACCGCCCGUCACACCAUGGGAGUGGGUUGCAAAAGAAGUAGGUAGCUUAACCUUCGGGAGGGCGCUUACCACUUUGUGAUUCAUGACUGGGGUGAAGUCGUAACAAGGUAACCGUAGGGGAACCUGCGGUUGGAUCACCUCCUUA